AUGGCAGAUCCCGUGGAAGUUAACUUUGUUUUGCUGUCGGACCAGGAGAGUGAAUCGAAUAGGUUACAUAGGCAGGACAGGCGAGUUCUCAUACAUUUCCUGGCGCUCGUAGGCUACUCUUUUUCUGUUAGUCCAUCCAGUCGGUCAGUUGAUAGUUUGAUCGAGGGCAUGAAGGCUAAGUGGGAGAAGUGGUCCAAAGCGAGAGUCUUUCGGGAUGGUCUUGGGCUUUGGGAAGAUGCUGGGCCCGACUAUGAGCCUGGUCUAAGCUAG